CAGGAGCCUUGGGAGCCUCUGCAAUGUGGAGAUAACAGAGCCAGGAGAAUAACAAAAAUACCUGCCCUCCGGCCACCCAGAACUCCAGCAUAGCCCUUGGGAACAUCACCAAUCUAAUCUUAGAGCCUCUGUUUCCUGUCUGUGAGAACAGCAGCAGCAUCUGCUAGAGAAGGAUCAUCUCACAGACCAGGUUUCCAUGGUACCAGAAACCUGGCUAAGCUAGCUUAGAGAACUCUCUGCCCUUCACUUCAGCACCUGGAGCUACUUUCCCUUCCAAAGCCUGGCCCUGGCCCUUCUCGACUGCUCCCUGCUAGCUGCAGUUUCUCCUUGUCUACCCACAUCCUGGAGUGUGUGUAUAGCUAAGAAGAGGCAAGGAGUAUUCCCUCCCAAAGAGUGGCUACAGAGAGAGACAGGGAACCUGCUCCUACCUGUUCGCCAGAGCCAGUCCUCCUUUACAAAAAAGAAAAAAACAAAAACUCCUGGACACUUGAUCCUAGCACACCUUCCCUCCCCUGCAGCUUGUACAGCUCUGAGGAGCACUGACAGCCAAAUUCCUUAGGCUACAGUAAGAUUUUUGACCCAGCAUCCACCACUGGACUAGGUCUGUGACCUGAAGAGCAAUCUUCAGUAAAUGUGACAUGAAGAACUAGAA